UUACCACGGUGACAGCCACUAACACCUACCGAGAAACCAUUCUCCCACCCUUUGUAAAGUCCCAGAACGUUCAGUAUUGGUGUCUUACUGUUUGCCAGGCCCUUGGGCUUAGUAAGCAGAACUGAUGUAAGCUCAGGCCCGGAUGAAAAACCAAAUUCCCUACCUCUACAGAAAGUCAGUCAACCAUAGAUGUCUCCAAGGAUCUAUAUGAACGAAGUCUCUGCAAGCUGGGUGAUGUACCAGCUGGAUGUGCGGCAGCCAAGAAGACACGUGGAAGAAAAGAAACACGCUUUUCAAAUGUUACAAGAUGAUGUGAAAUUAUAACACAAGAGAGGAGAUACUUAAAUGGGUAAACUGAAUUUUAAAGUGCCGUUAUCAUCUGAAAAAUGCACCCUAAAAUACUAGCCAGUAAGUGAAAAGCUAUUCGGAAUUUGCUUCCAAAAUCAUCCACACCUGGAGGCAGAAUAAACAAACCAGUGAAACAUGGUAAUUAUAUAUCCUAUACAAUGGGUACUUGGGGAUUUAGUACACCAUCUCACUUCUACAUAAAUUUGAAAUUUCUGAAGUUUUUAAAAUAAAAUUUCAAUUUUAUAUAACGUGAUAAAAAAA